rnacentral:rRNA from 2 species
UGCAAGUCGAGCGAACAGAAGGGAGCUUGCUCCCGGAUGUUAGCGGCGGACGGGUGAGUAACACGUGGGUAACCUGCCUGUAAGACUGGGAUAACUCCGGGAAACCGGAGCUAAUACCGGAUAGUUCCUUGAACCGCAUGGUUCAAGGAUGAAAGACGGUUUCGGCUGUCACUUACAGAUGGACCCGCGGCGCAUUAACUAGUUGGUGGGGUAAUGGCUCACCAAGGCGACGAUGCGUACCCGACCUGAGAGGGUGAUCGGCCACACUGGGACUGAGACACGGCCCAGACUCCUACGGGAGGCAGCAGUAGGGAAUCUUCCGCAAUGGACGAAAGUCUGACGGAGCAACGCCGCGUGAGUGAUGAAGGUUUUCGGAUCGUAAAGCUCUGUUGUUAGGGAAAAACAAGUGCGAGAGUAACUGCUCGCACCUUGACGGUACCUAACCAGAAAGCCACGGCUAACUACGUGCCAGCAGCCGCGGUAAUACGUAGGUGGCAAGCGUUGUCCGGAAUUAUUGGGCGUAAAGGGCUCGCAGGCGGUUUCUUAAGUCUGAUGUGAAAGCCCCCGGCUCAACCGGGGAGGGUCAUUGGAAACUGGGAAACUUGAGUGCAGAAGAGGAGAGUGGAAUUCCACGUGUAGCGGUGAAAUGCGUAGAGAUGUGGAGGAACACCAGUGGCGAAGGCGACUCUCUGGUCUGUAACUGACGCUGAGGAGCGAAAGCG